rnacentral:rRNA from 1 species
GAUGAACGCUGGCGGCGUGCUUAACACAUGCAAGUCGAACGGAAAGGCCAGUGCUUGCCCUGGUGCUCGAGUGGCGAACGGGUGAGUAACACGUGGGUGAUCUGCCCUGUACUUCGGGAUAAGCUUGGGAAACUGGGUCUAAUACCGGAUAGGACAACUUUUUGGAUAUUGUUGUGGAAAGCUUUUGCGGUAUGGGAUGAGCUCGCGGCCUAUCAGCUUGUUGGUGGGGUAAUGGCCUACCAAGGCGUCGACGGGUAGCCGGCCUGAGAGGGUGUACGGCCACAUUGGGACUGAGAGACGGCCCAGACUCCUACGGGAGGCAGCAGUGGGGAAUAUUGCACAAUGGGCGCAAGACUGAUGCAGCGACGCCGCGUGGGGGAUGAAGGCCUUAGGGUUGUAAACUCCUUUCGCUAGGGACGAAGCGUUUUUGUGACGGUACCUGGAGAAGAAGCACCGGCUAACUACGUG